CGUUGUUGGUUAUAAAAGUGGAUGUUCUCUGUUCACUGAGAUGUUGGAGUGGAGGUGUGAUCUGUUUAUGAAGCUUCAGUUCUUGGAGAUGAUUGUACAGGUUCUUCUGCCGAUCAGACUUCAGCGCCCCAAAAUUACCCUGAACGAUGGAGGACGUAGAAGCAAGAAGAUGCUCGGUGAUCGUAGACAGUUUUCCAAAGUUUAGUGAGGUUUUGGUGCCAGCUUUAUAUUCCUUGUAGAGCUGCAGGACCUUGUCAUCCAAGGGUGCAUGUGUUUGGUUUCCAAUAAUGUUGUGUUGGGCGGAAGCUAGGAGGAACCUCUUAUCACUGAUUCGUGAGAACUCAGAAGGUCCAAGAUACGGUUGGGGUUGAGGAUCCUCUGGGUUUCGAGGGGGAGGCUUUGGAUGAUGAGGCCCAAGGUCCGUUGGUGGUUGAGGAUCCUCUGGGUUUCGAGGGGGAGGCUUUGGAUGAUGAGGCCCAAGGUCCGUUGGUGGUUGAGGAUCCUCAGAGGCUGGAGGGGGAGGCUUUAGAUGAUGUGGCCCAAGAUCGGGUUGGGGUUGAGGGUUUUUUGGGGUCGAAGAAGAAAGUUUCAGGGGGCGAGGAGUCAUGUUCUGGGCCUCUACGGGUGGUUUGUAUGAGUCUAUCCUGGAUUCUGUGCUUAUGGAAAGGUGAAUAUAAAAAGGAAUAUAUCAUUUAAAGAGUGCUCGGCCUCCAGCUUGAGACAUCCA
ensembl:lncRNA